rnacentral:rRNA from 1 species
GUGCCAGCAGCCGCGGUAAUACGUAGGGGGCAAGCGUUAUCCGGAUUUACUGGGUGUAAAGGGAGCGCAGACGGCCAAGCAAGUCUGAAGUGAGAUGCAUGGGCUCAACCCAUGAAUUGCUUUGGAAACUGUUAGGCUUGAGUGUCGGAGAGGUAAGCGGAAUUCCUAGUGUAGCGGUGAAAUGCGUAGAUAUUAGGAGGAACACCGGAGGCGAAGGCGGCUUACUGGACGACAACUGACGUUGAGGCUCGAAGGCGUGGGGAGCAAACA